GACGAACCGUGCGAACGUUGUUCGGAAUCAUUGGGCGUAAAGCGCGUGUAGGCGGCCAGAAAAGUCCGCUGUGAAAACUCGAGGCUCAACUUCGAGCUGUCGGUGGAAACUUUCUGGCUAGAGUCCGGAAGAGGAGAAUGGAAUUCCUGGUGUAGCGGUGAAAUGCGCAGAUAUCAGGAAGAACACCCGUGGCGAAGGCGGUUCUCUGGGACGGUACUGACGCUGAGACGCGAAAGCGUGGGGAGCGAACAGG
rnacentral:rRNA from 1 species